GGGUCAGUAGGUUGGUCGUGCCACCGGUACGUACUGGUCUCACUGAUUCCUCCUUCCUGAAGAACCGUGAUGCCAUUAAUUUGGUGUUACGGGGAAACAGGACUGUUACUUUGAAAAAAUUAGAGUGUUUAAAGCAAGCUAACGCUUGAAUACAUUAGCAUGGAAUAAUGAAAUAGGACGAUCGAUCCUAUUUUGUUGGUUUCUAGGAUUGACGUA
rnacentral:rRNA from 1 species